ACACGAGCGGCGAACGGGUGAGUAACACGUGGGUGACCUGCCCUCCACUCUGGGAUAAGCCUGGGAAACUGGGUCUAAUACCGGAUAGGACUACUGGAUGCAUGUCUGGUGGUGGAAAGUUUUCGGUGGGGGAUGGGCCCGCGGCCUAUCAGCUUGUUGGUGGGGUGAUGGCCUACCAAGGCGGUGACGGGUAGCCGGCCUGAGAGGGCGACCGGCCACACUGGGACUGAGACACGGCCCAG
rnacentral:rRNA from 1 species